AUUGAACGCUGGCGGCAUGCCUUACACAUGCAAGUCGAACGGCAGCACGGGAGCAAUCCUGGUGGCGAGUGGCGAACGGGUGAGUAGAGCAUCGGAACGUGCCCAGUCGUGGGGGAUAGCCCGGCGAAAGCCGGAUUAAUACCGCAUACGACCUGAGGGUGAAAGCGGGGGACCUUUCGGGGCCUCGCGCGAUUGGAGCGGCCGAUGUCAGAUUAGGUAGUUGGUGGGGUAAAGGCCUACCAAGCCGACGAUCUGUAGCUGGUCUGAGAGGACGACCAGCCACACUGGGACUGAGACACGGCCCAGACUCCUACGGGAGGCAGCAGUGGGGAAUUUUGGACAAUGGGCGCAAGCCUGAUCCAGCCAUGCCGCGUGCGGGAAGAAGGCCUUCGGGUUGUAAACCGCUUUUGUCGGGGAAGAAAUGCUCCGGGAUAAUACCCUGGGGAGAUGACGGUACCCGAAGAAUAAGCACCGGCUAACUACGUGCCAGCCGCCGCAGUAACAC
rnacentral:rRNA from 1 species